AUACGUAGGGUGCAAGCGUUAAUCGGAAUUACUGGGCGUAAAGCGUGCGCAGGCGGUUUUGUAAGGCAGUGGUGAAAUCCCCGGGCUCAACCUGGGGACUGCCAUUGUGACUGCAAGGCUGGAGUGCGGCAGAGGGGGGAGGAAUUCCGCGGGUAGCGGGGAAAUGCGUAGAUAUGCGGAGGAACACCGAUGGCGAAGGCAAUCCCCUGGGCCUACACUGACGCUCAUGCACGAAAGCGUGGGGAGCAAACAGGAUUAGAUACCCUGGUAGUCCACGCCCUAAACGAUGUCAACUGGUUGUUGGGGAUUUAUUUUCUCAGUAACGAAGCUAACGCGUGAAGUUGACCGCCUGGGGAGUACGGCCGCAAGGUUAAAACUCAAAUGAAUUGACGGGG
rnacentral:rRNA from 1 species